GACAGAGGGUGCAAACGUUUGUUCGGAAUUACUGGGCGUAAAGCGCGUGUAGGCGGCCAUCUAAGUCGGGCGUGAAAUCCCACGGCUCAACCGUGGAAGUGCACUCGAAACUGGAUGGCUAGAGUCCUGGAGAGGAAGGUGGAAUGCUUGGUGUAGAGGUGAAAUUCGUAGAUAUCAAGCGGAACACCGGUGGCGAAGGCGGCCUUCUGGACAGUGACUGACGCUGAGACGCGAAAGCGUGGGGAGCAAACAGGG
rnacentral:rRNA from 1 species